rnacentral:rRNA from 1 species
UACGGGGGGAGCAAGCGUUGUUCGGAUUUACUGGGCGUAGAGGGCGCGUAGGCGGUCAGCACAAGUCAGUUGUGAAAUCUCCGGGCUUAACUCGGAAAGGUCAACUGAUACUGUGCGACUAGAGUGCGGAAGGGGCAACUGGAAUUCUCGGUGUAGCGGUGAAAUGCGUAGAUAUCUGGAGGAAUACCGGUGGCGAAGGCGGCAUCCUGGACCGACAUUGACGCUGAGGAGCGAAAGCUAGGGGAGCAAACGGG